rnacentral:lncRNA from 1 species
GUCAAAGGGCCACGGAGUCAUUUGUCUGUGACUUCUAAUGUCCAACACCAGCAAUGUCCACCCCCAGAGGAGACGCGUUCCUAGAUCCCCUGCGAGCAUGUGUUAUGAAACAGCGGGGUCUAGAGGAGCUUUUCUUCCACUGGAGCCCAGAACUUCCACAAAUGCCCCUGGAGGAGGAGCACUGCAUGGAAGCUGGGGACAGGGCACUUCAGAUGCUUCCCAGAGCAGGACCACAGUGGACACACUCUAACCGAGGGCCUGGGCUGUUCCUGUUCCCUGCAUCCUUGCAUCCUCUCCUGGACAUCAAGCAGACUGUCCAAAGGUUCUGUGCCUUGGCGUCCCUGCCUGGGUCAUAACCACUCCCAGUUGACUGAGGGCAUGGACUCCCUCCUGAAUCAACACAGAACACUGAUUCACCCGGUGGGAGAGCUUCAGGGCAACCAGACCCUCUUCGUACUCAAGCACGGCUAGCCUCUGAUACCUGGUCUCCUCAGCCCAGGACUCCAGACCGUUCCUCCCUGGAGUUUCUCACCUGAACCCUUCGAUUUCCGGUUCACUCGUCAUAGGAGACGCCAGAGCUAAGAUGCAGCUCUCCCCUCUGUGGCCACUCAUGCUGGUCUGUCACCUGCCAUUUUCAGCCUAGAAAAGUAUUUUGUUUAUGAUCAAUAAAGUUUGCAUGAAGAUCAGAAUGCAAAGCUAGCCACAGCCACAGAGGCC